rnacentral:rRNA from 1 species
AUUGAACGCUGGCGGCAGGCUUAACACAUGCAAGUCGAGCGGGGUGAUGGUGCUUGCACUAUCACUUAGCGGCGGACGGGUGAGUAAUGCUUAGGAAUCUGCCUAUUAGUGGGGGACAACAUCUCGAAAGGGAUGCUAAUACCGCAUACGUCCUACGGGAGAAAGCAGGGGAUCACUUGUGACCUUGCGCUAAUAGAUGAGCCUACGACGGAUUAGCUAGUUGGUGGGGUAAAGGCCUACCAAGGCGACGAUCUGUAGCGGGUCUGAGAGGAUGUUCCACCACAAUGGGGCUGGGACGCGGCCCAGACUCCUACGGGAAGCAGCAGUGGGGAAUAUUGGACAAUGAGCGGAAGCCUGAUCCAGCCAUGCCGCGUGUGUGAAGAAGGCCUUUUGGUUGUAAAGCACUUUAAGCGAGGAGGAGGCUACUAGUAUUAAUACUACUGGAUAGUGGACGUUACUCGCAGAAUAAGCACCGGCUAACUCUGUGCCAGCAGCCGCAGUAA